AAUUCUCAAUCUCAACAUUCUUGUAAUGUUUGUAGAUUGGAUGUGGGGGUUUAUGUGGGUCUUUUACAAGUUCCACUCCCCUGAAAUGUAUUAGCUGGAAUGCCUUUGCAAACCAACUAUCAGUAUGAUAAUUAUCUAUGCUGGAGUUGAUGCAAUAGGGGAUCUGCUUCUCAACCGUCUUUCUAAGACAAUUUGAAACA
rnacentral:misc_RNA from 1 species